AAAAGAAAAAGAAAAGAGAGAAGCUCACGGGGAGAGAGAGGAAAAAGAAUCGGAUCCAACCCGACCCGCGACCGUGAUCCGGUCGGAUCUCCCAUUUCGGGCCACCGUUUCAGUCGAGCUUGGUACCGAUCGGAAGCCCUUGAGCCGCUGGUCAUCUCCAUGCCGUCUUUGCCGUCGGAAAGCGUCCGGAAAGCCACCGAUCGAAGCCGUGAGAAGCCGCGGAAACGCCUCCUCGAUUGGCCACGGACUGCGCUCGUCGGCAGUCUUCUAUCAGCAUCUUCUCGGCUCACGGGGAGAGAGGAAAAACGCAGCCUCGAC
rnacentral:lncRNA from 1 species